GACUGUUGAGCUAGAGGAAGAUGGUCCUGUGUGUAUUAACCUCAGUGCUCAACUUACUGAUGGAUUAUUUGAGUUUUUCUGUUUCUGCUGUGAAGUCACGGGAUCCCGAAUUUUUCUUCUUGAGGUUGGCGGGAUCCACACCCAAGUCCGCUCAUCACCCUGGAGACUCAGAAGGAUACCCUAUUAAACUUAUGAAAACCCAUGGGCAAACAUCUGUGUCCGGAACUCUGGAAGUCAAAUCUUAUCUCCUGGGAGUGGAACAGCAGAAUCCCUGGAUGGUUCUGUCUUUGACGUUCCUGUAUCCUUCACUCUGGACACCACCCCAUCAGCCCUUCAAAACCCUCAUGGGAAAGAGGAGU
rnacentral:sRNA from 1 species